rnacentral:rRNA from 1 species
UUAAAUUGAAGAGUUUGAUCAUGGCUCAGAUUGAACGCUGGCGGCAGGCCUAACACAUGCAAGUCGAGCGGAAACGAGUUAUCAGAACCUU